rnacentral:lncRNA from 1 species
GAAUUAAAAGCAGUGACUCAGAUCAGGAAAUUGGCAUACCUCUUUUCAUACUCUUCCGCAAUGCCUUCAGACGAUUGUCUCAGUUAAGCUUUGUGACUUUUGGCAUGAAUUUUACCAGCUCCAAGAAGGAAGAGAAUGUUGCACAUUUUCUCUAAGCCAAGUCAGGAGGAGAAAGAAGAGGAAAAAGACUGCCUUCAAUCUUUCUGCUGGAGCUGAUGCUAUAUACUUUCUUGUGGAAAAAAGUUGUGUGAAAAAAUAAUCUGUAAGUGUGAAUGGCACGAAAAUGGAAUUAUCCAUCAAAUGGAGGGAGUGAUUCCUCCAAGUCAGCCCACUAUGGUCAAAAGAAGGCUUUCCACCUAUUCUCAUUUGUGCUACACUCAGACAGUGCUCUGUUGCUCAAGUAUUGAGCUAUGCUGAUGUCAUGUAGCAGAAGAUCCCGCAGCACAGCAGCCCACCUAUCUGCCAUGUGUAUUACAUAGGUUUCAAGACAGGAUCCAGAGAACUGAGAUCUCUCACAAGCAUUUAAAAUCUACCGCUUGUAUUCCUUCAACAUUUGUCAGAUCUCCCACUGGUGAUCAAAGAAUGCCAAACUGAAAGCAGACCUAUAUUUGUGAUUGUUUGCUACCCUCUGCGAUAAGUUUAUCCAUCAGUUUCUUUCCUGUUGACUUUCAUGUGCGCUAUCACCCCAGGAUGUUAUAUUUGCUCAAACAGAAAAUGGAAUUACAAGCAGAAGAAGCCGCUGCAUGGAAGGUCUGCUGCUGUGCUGCCCGCUGGAGACUUGCCUUGCGGUGAGGGCUACAGACACAAAAACAGCUUGGCACUGGGAGCUCCAUCUUGCUGUGGCAUAAGCUGGCUUCCUGCUGACUCCAGAUCUGCCUUCACACAGGUUGCUCUAGAUUGAGAUGAUAGAGUGGAGGCAAGUACUGUGCACUGGACUAGAGAAGUGUGUCAGCCAUAAAGGACAGCACACAGCAGCUAUGCUUUGUCUGGCACAGCAUUUUGUAGGGUUAAAAGGGAGUGACUGGAGUGUAGGGCCAUGCCAGCCAGUUUAGUCUCACCCAAGAGGUCCCAGAUUUGGUUCAAUGUGGUGAUGAAACUGCUGAGACUUUAUAAAUCCAGACUUACUUAAGGAGGGAUUGACAGAGCAAACUAUGACUAGGUUUUGUCACAGCAACCUAUAUGUCCAGAAUGGAAGUGCUAAGCCAACACUAGGAGGAGCAUAGAGCUGUGGACCCCUGUUUGCCUUUCAACUACAACUUUCUUGCAUUGCAGUUUCUUCUACACAUCUCCGGUUUCACAUGAUAUAAUAUUUGGCCCAGUAAAUGCAAGGCUUGGGUUUGGUCUCUAGUCAGAUGGUACCCAAAAAUAAGCAUCAAAAUAUCCACCGCUUAUUAAAAAGUCAAGAAGAAGAAAGAACAGACACAAAAUACAGUUUAGUCACCAUAAAGAAACCACCACCAAAAAGGCUGGGUAUGUAUCAGAUCAUCUUUUUGCAGAACAUUUCUUCUGAGAUAUAUGAAGGUGGGAAGACAGCCACUGGUAGAAUUUCCCCUGUUGCAAUGCCUCUUUAUUAUUUCAUUAAAAUCCUUGUAAUACACAAAACAAUAAAAGAAAGCAACUUGAAAGUUCACAAUACACAAGAUUCAUCUUGCAUUCAUAGAACGUGUGUAACUCAUUUUGUGCUGAUGUUUGCUUGUUUAAGAAUGCACACCUGCUCAUUACUACUUGUGGAAAAUAAGUUUAUUAGCCAAGGAAUGUCUGGACUCUUACUGGAAAUCCCAUGUAGAUGCAGUUAUGCUUCCUGUUAAGACUCUUCUUCAGUAAAAAAUUUGCUCCCACUGUAGUAUUCCAGGGGCAAAAGAAGCAGCAAAUGAUAUGCAGGAAAGAUGCAGGUAAAAAUAUUCACAGAGAUUAAAAACGCUCCAUGCC